rnacentral:RNase_P_RNA from 1 species
GAGAGGGAGAGUGCGGCCGACGGUGGCACUCCUGUGCUGCUGAGGAAAGUCCUCCCACCGGCCAGAUACGCAGCCGCAUGCAAGUGCGGGUGGCGAGAGUCACGGCUAUGACACAGAAACGACACGGCCCGCCGUCAGUGAUGAAACGAUAGAGCCCUCGUUUCGGGGGCGAGAAGCGCGGGAAUCCUGCGCAAGCAACUCGUUGAACGUAGCGGCGGGAAACGGUGAAACGGUGAAUCCCUGCGGGUGCAAGCCAGAAUAGGGCAUAUGGAUAGUCUGGUGUCCGCCCAGGUAUGGCGCUUAGCUGAAUGCCGCACAGAACAGAAGGAGGCUUACUCCUCCCACUC